AGGGCGCAUGGUGGAUGCCUUGGUACCAGGAGCCGAUGAAGGACGUGGGAGGCCGCGAUAGGCCCCGGGGAGCUGUCAACCGAGCGUUGAUCCGGGGGUGUCCGAAUGGGGGAACCCGGCACCCGUGAUGGGGUGUCACCGCCAUCUGAAUGUAUAGGGUGGUUGGAGGGAACCCGGGGAAGUGAAACAUCUCAGUACCCGGUGGAAGAGAAAACAAGAGUGAUUCCGUGAGUAGUGGCGAGCGAAAGCGGAUGGAGCCUAAACCUGUGGCGUGUGAGACCCGGCGGGGGUUGCGUCGCGGGGGUUGUGGGACCCUACUACACGGACCGCCGUCUGUGUGCACAGUGAGAAACCCGUGGUCUAGUCGAAUGGCAUGCGAGUGGCCGGCCGGAGUGGGUGAGAGCCCCGUAGACGUCGGAUCGUGGGCUGUGGUGGGUGUUCCCGAGUAGCGCGGGGCCCGUGGAAUCCCGUGUGAAUCUGCCAGGACCGCCUGGUAAGGCUGAAUACUCCCUGGUGACCGAUAGUGCACGAGUACCGUGAGGGAAGGGUGAAAAGUACCCCGGGAGGGGAGUGAAAGAGUUCCUGAAACCGUGUGCCUACAAGCCGUCAGAGCUAAGCCUGUCUUCGGGCGGGUGGUGAUGGCGUGCCUUUUGAAGAAUGAGCCUGCGAGUCAGGGCGUGUGGCGAGGUUAACCCGGGUGGGGGAGCCGUAGCGAAAGCGAGUCCGAAUUAGGGCGGUUUUAGUCGCGCGUCGUGGACCCGAAGCGGGGUGAUCUAGCCAUGGGCAGGGUGAAGCGCCGGUAAGACGGUGUGGAGGCCCGAACCCACCAGGGUUGAAAACCUGGGGGAUGACCUGUGGUUAGGGGUGAAAGGCCAAUCAAACUCCGUGAUAGCUGGUUCUCCCCGAAAUGCAUUUAGGUGCAGCGUCGUGUGUGUGUGCCGGAGGUAGGGCUCUGGAUGGCUGAUGGGCCCGACAAGGUUACUGACGUCAGCCAAACUUCGAAUGCCGGUACAUUAGAAUGCGGCAGUGAGACUGCGGGGGAUAAGCUUCGUGGUCGAGAGGGGAACAGCCCAGAGCAUCGGCUAAGGCCCCUAAGCGCGUGCUAAGUGGGAAAGGAUGUGGGACCGCGGUGACAACCAGGAGGUUGGCUUAGAAGCAGCCAUCCUUGAAAGAGUGCGUAAUAGCUCACUGGUCAAGUGGUUCCGCGCCGAUAAUGUAGCGGGGCUCAAGUACGCCGCCGAAGCCGUGUCAGCCGUAAGGCUGGGUAGGGGAGCGCCGCACACGCCGGUGAAGCGGGCCUGUGAGGGUCCCGUGGAGGGUGUGCGGGUGAGAAUGCAGGCAUGAGUAGCGAUAUCCGCUGUGGGAAUCAGCGGCGCCGGUAGACCAAGGGUUCCUGGGCCAGGUUGUUCCGCCCAGGGUGAGUCGGGGCCUAAGGCGAGGCCGUCAGGCGUAGUCGAUGGAUGACGGGUUGAUAUUCCCGUACCCGACGCGUACCGCAAGGGCCGAAGCCCGUGACACUAAGCCCGCGUGAUCCCGUGUCGCCUUCGGGCGGUGUGGGUGAGUGUCGGUGAUCUGAUCGGGUGGUAGGUGAGUGAUGGGGUGACGCAGGGAGGCAGGCGGUCCCGGGCGGUGGUUGUCCCGGGUCAAGCAUGUGGGCCGCAGCGUAGGCAAAUCCGCGCUGCACAAGGCUGAGGUGUGAUGGGGAGCCCGUAGGGGUGAAGCCGCUGUGCCUGUGCUGUCGAGAAAAGCCUCUAGCGAGGUGCGUGUCGGCCCGUACCCUAAACCGACACAGGUGGUCUGGUAGAGGAUACCGAGGCGUUCGGGCGAACUGUGGUCAAGGAACUCGGCAAAAUGCCCCCGUAACUUCGGGAGAAGGGGGGCCCCUCUCGGUGACGAGCCUCGCGCUUUGAGCUGGGGGGGGUCGCAGAGGAGAGCGGGAAGCGACUGUUUACUAAAAACACAGGUCCGUGCGAAGCCGUGAGGCGAGGUAUACGGACUGACGCCUGCCCGGUGCUGGAACGUUAAGGGGACCCGUCAGCCCGCAAGGGUGAAGCGGUGAACUUAAGCGCCAGUAAACGGCGGUGGUAACUAUAACCAUCCUAAGGUAGCGAAAUUCCUUGUCGGGUAAGUUCCGACCUGCACGAAUGGCGUAACGACUUCCCGGCUGUCUCGACCGCAGGCCCGGUGAAAUUGCACUACGAGUAAAGAUGCUCGUUUCGCGCAGCAGGACGGAAAGACCCCAGGACCUUCACUAUAGCUUGGUAUUGGUGUCCGGGGCGGUUUGUGUAGGAUAGGUGGGAGACUGUGAAACUGGGGCGCCAGCUCUGGUGGAGUCGUUGUUGAAAUACCACUCUGAUCGUCGCGGGUGUCUAACCCGGGUCCGUGAUCCGGAUCGGGGACAGUGCCUGGUGGGUAGUUUAACUGGGGCGGUUGCCUCCCAAAGGGUAACGGAGGCGCCCAAAGGUUCCCUCAGCCUGGUUGGCAAUCAGGUGUCGAGUGUAAGUGCACAAGGGGGCUUGACUGUGAGACCGACGGGUCGAGCAGGGGCGAAAGCCGGGACUAGUGAUCCGGCCAUGGCGUGUGGAAGCGUGGUCGCUCAACGGAUAAAAGGUACCCUGGGGAUAACAGGCUGAUCUUCCCCAAGAGUCCAUAUCGACGGGAUGGUUUGGCACCUCGAUGUCGGCUCGUCGCAUCCUGGGGCUGGAGUAGGUCCCAA
rnacentral:rRNA from 1 species